AGUGAACGCUGGCGGUAGGCCUAACACAUGCGAGUCGAACGGCAGCACAGUAAGAGCUUGCUCUUACGGGUGGCGAGUGGCGGACGGGUGAGGAAUACAUCGGAAUCUACUUUUUCGUGGGGGGUAAGGUAGGGAAACUUACGCUAAUACCGCAUACGACCUACGGUUAAAAGAAGGGGAUCUUCGGACCUUGCGCGAUUAAAUGAGCCGAUGUCGGAUUAGCUAGUUGGCGGGGUAAAGGCCCACCAAGGCGACGAUCCGUAGCUGGUCUGAGAGGAUGAUCAGACACACUGGAACUGAGACACGGUCCAGACUCCUACGGGAGGCAGCAGUGGGGAAUAUUGGACAAUGGGCGCAAGCCUGAUCCAGCCAUACCGCGUGGGUGAAGAAGGCCUUCGGGUUGUAAAGCCCUUUUGUUGGGAAAGAAAAGCAGCAGGUUAAUACCCCGCUGUUCUGACGGUACCCAAAGAAUAAGCACCGGCUAACUUCGUG
rnacentral:rRNA from 1 species